rnacentral:rRNA from 1 species
CCUACGGGUGACAGCAGUGAGGAAUCUUCGUCAAUGGACGCGAGUCUGAACCAGCCAAGUAGCGUGAAGGAUGACUGCCCUACGGGUUGUAAACUUCUUUUAUAAAGGAAUAAAGUGAUGCACGUGUGCCUUUUUGUAUGUACCUUAUGAAUAAGGAUCGGCUAACUCCGUGCCAGCAGCCGCGGUAAUACGGAGGAUCCGAGCGUUAUCCGGAUUUGUUGGGUUUAAAGGGAGCGUAGAUGGGUUGUUAAGUUAGUUGUGAAAGUUUGCGGCUCAACCGUAAAAUUGCAAUUGAUACUGGCAGCCUUGAGUACAGUAGAGGUAGGCGGAAUUCGUGGUGUAGCGGUGAAAUGCUUAGAUAUCACGAAGAACUCCGAUUGCGAAGGCAGCUCACUAGACUGCAACUGACACUGAGGCUCGAAAGUGUGGGUAUCAAACAGGAUUAGAUACCCUGGUAGUC